GGUCCCAUCACGGCCCGUAUUCCUUUGGCCCGUUGCCAAAUGAAUUCCUCAAGCUUCCUCUUCCAUCAGCUAAAUUCCUAGUCAUAGUCGUGGUCGAUCUCUCUCAGGAGGCGGGGGCCACAGUCGUGGUUGGAGCUAUAGCCCGAGGAAGGCACAGCAAGUCUCCAAGAGCAAAACCUUGGCGCAAGUCACCUGGAAAGUCAAGAUCAAGGCCCACUCGUUCGGUUGCUCCCGAUUUGAAUCAGGCUUGUUAAGAGAAAGAACUGGACUAGGUGUCUCCUAUGUGGUCAAUGUGUUGAAUGCUUCUAGGUUGCUUUGUUGUUAAAUGCAGGAAAGAUUGAGCUAGGUAGAGGGGAAAGUGCCAGAAGGUGAGAGCGAGGGAUGAGUUAGGAGUGGGCUCAAAAACCGACAGUUACAGUUUCAGUGAUUUUUUUUUAAGAAUUAGCUUAUCUCAUUUAUCUUUCCCCUUUCAUUGUUUAAGUAUUUUUGCAGAUGAGUUUUGUAACUGAUUCCCCGGUACACUCGUCUAGCAGUGAUGACUUUGCCGCAUUGCUUGAUGCUGAACUUGAAGUCGGUUCUUCAGGCUCAUCACACAAUGAACAAGACGAUGAAGAGGAAGAAGUUGAUGAUGAUAACAAUGAUGAUGAUGAUGACCUCGACAAUCAAAGGAACAAAAGGUGCAAGACCGAGAAGUUGGAAGACGUAGAAGAACCUCAAGGGUCAACCUCGCAGGGUUUGAUAGAAGAAAAUAUAGGUAAAGUUCCUUAAUUUGGUUGGCUGCCCCUCCAGUUUAUUUAAAACUUGGAUCCCUUCCACUCCCUGAACUUCAGCACAAUUAACUAUCUGGUGACAUGCUCACAAGUGUCUCAUGCUACUAAUGGCUUUUAGGAGAUACAACAAGAGAGCAAUUUGGCUGUAACUAGUCUAUUCUUAAAUUUUAAUCUAGUACUAUUCAUAAAUAUUCAAAUAGGAUGUGUCUGUUUUAGAUGGUUUGCCAUGCUAAAGCUUUCUAAGUUUCA